GCCCAUUCGUUCUGUCUCGCACGCACGCGACCUCGCUCUAGUCCCCUUUCACGCCCAUGCUAUGCCGCCGCCGCCACCCACGGCUCCGACCGUCGCCGGCCUCCUCCUCCGUUGCGGCUCGCCGGCACAGCUCCGCCCCGGUAUUUUACCUUGAUUCCUCGCCGCCACGACGCUGCUCUCCUCCAGUGCGCGCCCCCACGGAAAACCCUUAGCCGUGUGGCUCGUCUUCGCUGCGUUGGCGCGUCCUCAAGCCUCCAGUUGCUUACCUCCGACAACUACGGAUGCCCACGUCGUCUACGACCCCGCUCUGACCUCUAGUACCAUGGCUGCUCCAGCCCGACGCCUAUGACCACCUCCAGGUUCCCCCGUCGACCAUGUCCUCAAUCCCCAUCCUCAAGGUCGUCACGGAACUUCCGCUGCUAGGCCGAGUGGCUGCCGUUGUAGAUCAUGGUGUUCCCGAUUAGUUUGGCCACCGCGAGUCUGAGAGCAUUGGGAACAGAAAAGUCUGACCAGAUUUUGCAAGCGGUUAGGGAUCUUCUUCGUGAAAAGAGUUCAUUUAAAAACCAACCGGACUGGGUUACAGUUCUUGAUGGAUCUCAGGAAGGUGCAUAUGAAUGGGUUACCAUUAAUUAUCUGUUGGGAAAUUUGGGAAAGACCUACCCAGACACUAUUUGUGUGGUUGAUCUUGGCGGUGGAUCCGUCCAAAUGGCAUACGCUAUCGCAGAGAAGGAUGCCGCGAAGGCUCCUAAACCAGCAGAUGGUGAAGAUGCAUAUGUGAAGAAGCUCUUCCUUAAGGGAACGACAUAUUAUGUUUAUGUCCACAGAUGCGGAAGAAUCCUUGAGGAGUUGAUGCACAAGGUCUUACAGAGCGAAAAGAAGAGUAUACGAUGACCUACAGGCCUACAGAACUCAUUUUGGGAUUCUUCGACAAAUUUGGUCAAUUCAAUGGGGCUCGUUGUCCCUCACCAAACAUAUAGCCACUGCUACUAGUAGUCAGUUUUUCUUUGUGAGCCAGGAAUGAAGACUGACCAGAUACCGAGAGAUGCAAUGGCAGGUCAAUGCAUUGGAAUGGCAACUACUGGACUAUCCUCUUCAUUCAAAUGCUCAAGUCUUUGAGUUUAUCUGUCCUCCUCCGUCGAAGCAGGCUGGCUCAACUCCUGCCUGCCCUCCUACUCCGCCCACGAGUGACAAAAGAGAGCGGUGACUGAGAUUUGUGGAGUCCAGUCCACUAAAUUCUUACACUUCGAAGGAGAUAUAUGGCUUUAAAAACACCCUGCUUUUAAAAUAUGGAUAAAUUACUGGAAGUGUUGGGACUGGAAGUAUACCUGCAUCUUCUUUGUGAGGAGCAUUAUCUUUUUGGUGAGGAUCAUUGUUUUUUUUCCGGAGCAGUACAAUUCAAGAUCCUGUAAUUAGAUUCUGUAAUUUAGAUGCUACAUGGAAAUGUUUGUUCUAGACCAUGUUGACACCAUGUUGCUUGCAAAUGUUGGUUUCAAACCAUGUUGACACAAUGUCGCUUGCAAAUAUUGGUCCCAUCAUGUAAUUUAGAUGCAUGGUUGUAAUUUUAAUGCAUGAUCAUGUCGCUGUGUUGGAUCAAAAUGCCAAGCAAUAUGAAGGUGCUAUGAUUAUUGCCUUGUUUUGAA